UACUUAAAUGUUUGUUAAUGUUUUCUACAGGUUGCACCACAAGUUUCGCCACCGCAACAUUACCAGCCUUUUAAUAACAAGAUAUUCCAACACUUUGGCGACAGGGAAGCUUACCACUACAAUGGUGAUAAGG